AUUGAACGCUGGCGGCAUGCCUUACACAUGCAAGUCGAACGGUAACAGGUCUUCGGAUGCUGACGAGUGGCGAACGGGUGAGUAAUACAUCGGAACGUGCCCGAUCGUGGGGGAUAACGGAGCGAAAGCUUUGCUAAUACCGCAUACGAUCUACGGAUGAAAGCAGGGGACCGCAAGGCCUUGCGCGGACGGAGCGGCCGAUGGCAGAUUAGGUAGUUGGUGGGAUAAAAGCUUACCAAGCCGACGAUCUGUAGCUGGUCUGAGAGGACGACCAGCCACACUGGGACUGAGACACGGCCCAGACUCCUACGGGAGGCAGCAGUGGGGAAUUUUGGACAAUGGGCGCAAGCCUGAUCCAGCCAUGCCGCGUGCAGGAUGAAGGCCUUCGGGUUGUAAACUGCUUUUGUACGGUAACGAAAAGACUCUUCUAAUAAAGAGGUCCAUGACGGUACCGUAAGAAUAAGCACCGGCUAACUACGUGCCAGCAGCCGCGGU
rnacentral:rRNA from 1 species